UACAGAGGGUGCGAGCGUUAAUCGGAAUUACUGGGCGUAAAGCGCACGUAGUCGGCUUUGCAAGUCGGGUGUGAAAUCCCCGGGCUCAACCUGGGAACUGCAUCCGAGACUGCAUUGCUAGAGUAUGGGAGAGGGAAGCGGAAUUUCUGGUGUAGCAGUGAAAUGCGUAGAUAUCAGGAGGAACACCGGUGGCGAAGGCGGUUCUCUGGGCCUUACCUGACGCUGAGGAGCGAAAGCGUGGGGAGCAAACAGG
rnacentral:rRNA from 1 species